ACAGGAGCUCUGUCGGCUUUGGCUUUGGAAUAGAUGAUGAGACACCUUGGCAGCUCGUUGGUCAUAUCAAAUAUCCAAUAAUUUACAAGCUAAUCCUCUAAAUGUAUUCGGUGUUGUGAUAAAAAGAAAACAAUUACAGGUGAUCAAGUAUACAUUACUUUUGAUCUUACUUCUUAAGCUCAAUCGCCGCAUCCGCACACACACACACAUCGCAGAGACAAGACAGAUACAGAUUAUACCAAACACAAGUCAAAUACCUAAGGAAAUUUACCAAUCACAACUUGCACCUAGACAGAAUUAUUUGUAGGCGUUAGAGCUCAGACUUUCUCUUGAGUCUUUUGGCACAAAUUAAUAUUGCAAUGGGUCCAGAGAGAGAGUUCUCAGCAGAAUUAGAUUUGAUUUCUAAAUGAAAAAAUCAUUUUGUUGUCAUUUAAGAGCUUAUUAUAUAUCAUCUAUAACUAUUAUUUGAGUUAAAAAAUUCGUUUCGUUUACUCGUGAAUUAUUUACCAAAGGAAAAGUUAAGCCUUCGAGAUUGUGUCCGAACGGAACGGAGAGUCAACAGAAGGAUUGCUGGGAAAACAAGAAACAAACAUCGCUCAUGUGUGAAACUGGAAUGUGGCAUGGCAGCGGAGCAGACCGGACUAGACAUGCUAGACAAAGACUAGAUGGAAACGUGACUAUCUCCCUGUCAAAUGAGCAAGGUGGCUCCAGAGACGGGGCAGAUGCAGUCGGUGGGGUAGGCUCCCAACUAAUAGUUGCCACAAAAACGGCAGAAUGGAGACCAGAAAAAAGCAGGUGCCAACAAUGAAUGGCCCUGAGCAGUGCGAAGAUACAAAAUGUACAGACAGCAGUUCGUUUAUGCCAAGCGGUUUUCAUCAACGAGUAACGAGUAGCCGAUCAACGAGUGAGCUUAAUUCAGCGCUUUCCGCUGGGAAACCAAUAUGGUAGAUGUAUGUAUGGUUAGGAAAUGACUGAUCUAAGGGCUUUCAAAUUUUAGACACGCUUCCUCAAUGACACCUCACGCAUCCCUCAUCAUGUUGUACUCCUAUUGGGGAACAAGAAAGAGAGAGAGACAGAGAGAGAGAGAGAGUUAAAGUAAGAGAGUGACAGCAGAGAGAAGAUAGAUCUUAGAUUUAUCUACCCGUUUAGACCUCAUAUAUUUGUGUACUUAUAUAUCAAUAUACUCGUAUUCUCGAUGUACCACUGAAUGUAUACCAUUAUGUACUUUACAAUGUUUGCGGCAAUUUGUGCUUUUUGUGAGAAACUAUACAAUAUUUGUAACAAAUGUAUGCUGAACCAAACUAUACACAAAUUUCGGACUGUAACUGCAUAGAAUUUUAAGAGCAAGGAUUGCGAUAUCAGAUGUUUGUGAGUGAAAUAUGCGAACGGAUCUAAAUUAAAUUUCGGGAACUCUUCCC
rnacentral:lncRNA from 1 species